UACGGGGGGGGCGAGCGUUAUUCGGAAUUAUUGGGCGUAAAGGGCGCGUAGGCGGGCUCCCAAGUCGGUGGUGAAAUCUUUCGGCCCAACCGGAAAAGUGCCGCCGAUACUGGGAGCCUCGAGGGAGGUAGGGGUCGAGGGAACUUCCGGUGGAGCGGUGAAAUGCGUAGAUAUCGGAAGGAACGCCGGUGGCGAAAGCGCUCGACUGGACCUCUUCUGACGCUGAGGCGCGGAAAGCCAGGGGAGCAAAGCGGG
rnacentral:rRNA from 1 species